GACGAACGCUGGCGGCGUGCUUAACACAUGCCAGUCGAGCGGAAAGGCCCUUCGGGGUACUCGAGCGGCGAAAGGGUGAGUAACACGUGAGUAAUCUGCCCUUGGCUUUGGGAUAACUACCGGAAACGGUGGCUAAUACCGGAUACGACAACCGUCUGCAUGGGCUGGUUGUGGAAAGUUUUUUCGGCCAGGGAUGUGCUCGCGGCCUAUCAGCUUGUUGGUGGGGUAAUGGCCUACCAAGGCUUCGACGGGUAGCCGGCCUGAGAGGGUGACCGGCCACACUGGGACUGAGACACGGCCCAGACUCCUACGGGAGGCAGCAGUGGGGAAUAUUGGACAAUGGGCGGAAGCCUGAUCCAGCAACGCCGCGUGAGGGAUGACGGCCUUCGGGUUGUAAACCUCUUUCAGUACCGACGAAGCGCCGAUGAUGGUGGUGACGGUAGGUACAGAAGAAGCACCGGCCAACUACG
rnacentral:rRNA from 1 species